GCCGGGGUGGCGAAACGGUAGCCGCGGGGGCCUUAAAAGCCCCUGCCCGUGAGGGCGUCAGGGUUCGAGUCCCUGUCCCGGCA
rnacentral:tRNA from 1 species